rnacentral:rRNA from 1 species
AUUGAACGCUGGCGGCAGGCUUAACACAUGCAAGUCGAGCGGGGGAAGGUAGCUUGCUACCGGACCUAGCGGCGGACGGGUGAGUAAUGCUUAGGAAUCUGCCUAUUAGUGGGGGACAACAUCUCGAAAGGGAUGCUAAUACCGCAUACGUCCUACGAGAGAAAGCAGGGGAUCUUUGGACCUUGCGCUAAUAGAUGAGCCUAAGUCGGAUUAGCUAGUUGGUGGGGUAAAGGCCUACCAAGGCGACGAUCUGUAGCGGGUCUGAGAGGAUGAUCCGCCACACUGGGACUGAGACACGGCCCAGACUCCUACGGGAGGCAGCAGUGGGGAAUAUUGGACAAUGGGGGGAACCCUGAUCCAGCCAUGCCGCGUGUGUGAAGAAGGCCUUAUGGUUGUAAAGCACUUUAAGCGAGGAGGAGGCUACUUUAGUUAAUACCUAGAGAUAGUGGACGUUACUCGCAGAAUAAGCACCGGCUAACUCUGUGCCAGCAGCCGCGGUAA